UCCGACCGCUGAGUACUAGAAAACGUUAGGACGAGAAGAACGGUUUUUUUGGACCACCGAUGUGUGACACCAUCGAACCUCACGCAGAAAUGGAAAUUACAAUUUAUCAAGAAAAACAAUACGAACAGCAGCAGCAGAGGGAGCCGGCAAGUAGAGGCGAUUCCUAAACACGCUACAGCACGAGGUGUACACGCGCUCUAAAAUCCUCCUUGGGAUUAUACUAGUACAAAUUUUAAAGAAGAACACAGACAGAGCAAUCAGGAAAACUGCAAUGGUACAACAGUUCCAGACAGAUCUGCUAGACAUUUCCAUCACUUUCUAAGGCUCAUGCAUUGCACUUGUGAUUCGAGUUUCGAGUAAGGUGAUACGGUGAGCUCAUUUUCGAAUACCCUUUUACGCCAUUCUCUCGAGAAAGAUCGUUUACAUAGCACUGAAAAGAAAAUUAGUCUCAGGGAAAACAUAUUUUUAGUGUUUUUCGAAAGAACACGCAUGAUUCAAUGGUACAAUGGAGAUGGACAUUUAAUCAAAGCAAACUGCUAAUGCUAACUUCAAAGCAAUGAUGAAGACUUUCCUUUCUCCCACUGCCUGAUCUUUUUACUUCGCAAAAAUCAAUCGUGAGCCAAGAAGAAGAACAGCAUCCUGCAACAAAUUCAGAGAUUUUUAUAGUUUAUUGGAGUCAAAUUCAUGAAACACAAUAUAUGCGAGGAAAGUUGGAGUUGUCUCCUUUGUUGAAUGGACAUAUAACAAUGAUCAUCAAACGAUUUUAUAGCUUAUUGUAUGUCGGUGUUUCAUUUUCUUUUGCAUGUUUUUAAAAGUUACAGGAUGUUUUUUCGCAUUUCCCUUCGAAUGAAAGAGCUAUCAUUUUUUGUGAGUGAAAACAUUGUUUUACUCUUUAAUGAUGUCUUGGAAUAAUGGGGUUUCUGAUAUUGAAUGAACUUUCUGAACAAUUAGAUCAUUUUUAAGGUCGUUAAGGGACAAUCGUUUGCAAUUUCUGUUUUGAUUAUAGUUAGCUGAGGGAAAGAACAUGUUGAUUUUUCUUUUCAUGUAUUAUUUGGUUUGAAGAAUUUGCAAUUUCGACUUCACAAGAAGUCGAAAUUGCAAAUUCUAGAAUCAUCAUUGUAUCUAUGUAUCUCCCCAGGAGAGGAGAGGUCUUGUUCAGAAUUCAGUCCUCCUUUCAUACGACAUCUGAAACAUUAUAGUAACAAGCUGGAAACAA